AUGUGGGCCCAAAUCCUUCGCAGCAAGUACCUACAGACAAAGUCCUUGUCUCAGGUCACUGUCAGGCCAACUGACUCGCCGUUCUGGAAAGGCCUGAUGAAAGUCAAACAAUCGUUGUUUAAUAGGACAAAGGUUGUUAUUGGUAACGGCGCUAGUACACGAUUCUGGGAGGAUACUUGGCUCGGUGAGACACCCUUGGCCAUUCAAUAUCCGUCUCUAUAUCGUAUUGUUCAACGACGUGAGGUGUUCGUUGCUACGGUGUUUCAAUCAAACCCCCUUAAUAUUCAGUUCAGACGGUCGUUAGUGGGCAAUCGUUGGGAAGAUUGGCUCCGUCUAGUUCGGAGACUAAUGGAUGUCCAUCUUUCUCAACAACCCGAUGAAUUACGCUGGAAACUGAAUAGGUCUGGAGUUUUCACGGUUAAAUCAAUGUAUAUUGAUGUGAUUAAUUCGAGCCCCAUUCCUACAUCCAAGCAUGUUUGGGCUGUCAAAGUUCCUUUGAAAAUAAAAGUGUUUAUGUGGUUUGUUCAUAAACAGGUUAUUUUAACCAAGGAUAACUUGAUUAAGCGUAAUUGGACAGGACCUACGAGGUGUAGCUUCUGUGAUCGGGACGAGACAAUCAAGCAUCUCUUUUUUGAUUGCCCGCUUGCCAGAGUACUUUGGCGGACGGUUCACAUUGCUUUUAAUAUUACUCCACCGAAUUCUGUCACCACGUUAUUUGGGACAUGGCUCACUGGGGUUGAGCCUGAAUUAGCGAGACAUAUUCGUGUUGGAGUCUGCGCGUUGUUGUGGACUAUCUGGACUUGCAGAAAUGAUUUGGUUUUUAACAGAAUAUCGCGUAUUCAUUUUUUGCAGGUUAUUUUCCGAGCCACGGCCAUGAUCCGUUCAUGGUCACUACUCACUCCGAUGGUGGCCAGGGAGCAUUUGGUUACUGGAUCUAUCCGCUGGGAGAUGGUAGCUCGGGAUAUCUUCAACCGGUUUGGAUGGCGGUCAUGUAAUAGGAUAGGCAAUUGGUUUACCUAUCUAUAUUUAGCCAGCCGGAUGUGGCGUCUUUUCUUGGCUAGUCUGUGUGUCUAG
rnacentral:rRNA from 1 species